rnacentral:rRNA from 1 species
UACGAAGGGGGCUAGCGUUGCUCGGAAUUACUGGGCGUAAAGGGCGCGUAGGCGGAUUGUUAAGUCGGAUGUGAAAUCCCUCGGCUCAACUGAGGAAGUGCAUCCGAAACUGGCAAGCUUGAGUACGAAAGAGGGUCGCGGAAUUCCCGGUGUAGAGGUGAAAUUCGUAGAUAUCGGGAGGAACACCGGUGGCGAAGGCGGCGACCUGGGUCGAUACUGACGCUGAGGUGCGAAAGCGUGGGGAGCAAACAGG